GUCCAUGUGGCGCAGUGGAAAGCGCAUUUGCCUCCUAAGCAAAGGGUCGAAGGUUCGAAUCCUUCCUUGGACG